rnacentral:rRNA from 1 species
AGUGGAUGGGGAGCAACCUAGUUGUGCGUGUGUAAAGGUAGUGCCAAGAAAAGCGAUGAUCAUGUUGAAAAUCAAUUCCCGGUACCCGAAACCGACACAGGUGGGCAAGUAGAGAAUACUAAGGGGCGCGAGGUAACUCUCUCCAAGGAACUCGGCAAAAUGACCCCGUAACUUAGGGAGAAGGGGUGCCACCGAGAGGUGGUCGCAGUGAAGAGGCCCAGGCACUGUUUAGCAAAAACAUAGGUCUCUGCAAACUCGAAAGAGGAGGUAUAGGGGCUGACGCCUGCCCAGUGCCGGAAGGUUAAAGAAGUUGGUCAGUUUUAGGAUGAAGCUAGCGACUGAAGCCCCGGUGAACGGCGGCCGUAACUAUAACGGUCCUAAGGUAGCGAAAUUCCUUGUCGGGUAAGUUCCGACCUGCACGAAAGGCGUAACGAUCUGGGCGCUGUCUCGGAGAGAGGCUCGGCGAAAUAGGAUUGUCUGUGAAGAUACGGACUACCUGCAUUUGGACAGAAAGACCCUAUGAAGCUUUACUAUAGCUCGGAAUUGUGUUCGGGCUUCCUGUGCGCAGGAUAGGUGGGAGGCGUAGAAGGUAUUCUUGUGGGGAUACUGGAGCCAACGGUGAGAUACCACUCUCAGGAGGCUAGAAUUCUAACUUAAUUAAGGACAGUUUCAGGUGGUAGUUUGACUGGGGCGGUCGCCUCCAAAAAGGUAACGGAGGCGUACAAAGGUUCCCUCAGACUGGUUGAAAUCAGUCGAAGAGUGCAAAGGCAGAAGGGAGCUUGACUGCGAGAAGUACAGUUCGAGCAGGGUGGAAACACGGUCUUAGUGAUCCGACGGUGCUGUGUGGAAGGGCCGUCGCUCAACGGAUAAAAGUUACUCUAGGAUAACAGGCUGAUCUCCCCCAAGAGUUCACAUCGACGGGGAGGUUUGGCACCUCGAUGUCGGCUCAUCGCAACCUGGGGCGGAAGUACGUCCCAAGGGUUGGGCUGUUCGCCCAUUAAAGCGGUACGUGAGCUGGGUUCAGAACGUCGUGAGACAGUUCGGUCCAUAUCCGAUGUAGGCGUGAGAAUAUUGAGAGGAGCCUUCCUUAGUACGAGAGGACCGGGAAGGACGCACCGCUGGUGUACCUGUUAUGAUGCCAAUUGUAAACGCAGGGUAGCCAAGUGCGGAGAGGAUAACCGCUGAAAGCAUCUAAGUGGGAAGUCCACCUCAAGAUGAGUAUUCUGGUGUAAGGUCACGGGAAGACGACCCGUAAAUAGGCACGAGGUGGAAGUGCAGAGAUGUAUGAAGCCGAAGUGUACUAAUAGACCGUCGGCUUGACC